ACGUCAAUUGCACGCUUUUCCUUUUGCUCUUUAGUCAAUGUUUUUGGCAAUCGAAGCAGAGCUGCAUAUCUCAGUGUUUCUUUCACUGUCAGGAACUUAUUGUAUGGUUGAUCAUUGUAAGUAAUGGAACCGCCAGCAGUAGACCGAAUGAGCCGGCCUCCAAGCAGAUUGAGUAAUGUUGUCUUGCCACUUCCUGAAGGUCCCAUUAAGGCCAGAACUUCGCCUGGGUUUACCGAACCGAAUGAAGAUGAAUUGAGCUAUGUAAAAGUUGUUGAAGAUUCAACUCAAUUGAGAGAAGGCUAUAUUUUAGGCAAAAGAUUCAACUCAAGUGAGAGAAGGCUAUAUUUUCCAAAAGGUAUGCAAAUAGUUUCACUUUUUAACCCUUCUUUAAUUCCCUCUAGAAAGCGAUAUGCUUUGACUAGCUUUUUUUUUUUCCUUUCUUUUAUCUUUCUGGUUCUUAUUUUGUUCUUCAGUUAGGUGGAAAUUGGAUGAGUCUUGUACAUGAAUUGUCAUAUAAAAUGAAACUUUGUACAAGACUGAA